UACGUAGGUGGCAAGCGUUGUCCGGAAUUAUUGGGCGUAAAGCGCGCGCAGGUGGUUCCUUAAGUCUGAUGUGAAGGCCCACGGCUCAACCGUGGAGGGUCAUUGGAAACUGGGGAACUUGAGUGCAGAAGAGGAAAGUGGAAUUCCAAGUGUAGCGGUGAAAUGCGUAGAGAUUUGGAGGAACAUCAGUGGCGAAGGCGACUUUCUGGUCUGUAACUGACACUGAGGCGCGAAAGCGUGGGGAGCAAACAGG
rnacentral:rRNA from 1 species